rnacentral:rRNA from 1 species
AAUGAACGUUGGCGGCGUGGAUUAGGCAUGCAAGUCGUACGGGCCGCAAGGCCAGUGGCGCAAGGGUGAGUAAUGCGACGGUAACCAACCCCAUGGGUGGGUAUAGCCGCGGGAAACUGCGGGUAAUCCCCAGCGAAGCAAAGCGGUCGGCAUCGACCGUUUGCCAAAGCUCAGGCGCCGAGGGACGGGCCGUCGUGGUAAUAGGUAGUUGGGGGGGUAACGGCCCACCAAGCCGACGAUGCCUACCGGGCGUGCGAGCGUGGCCCGGCACACUGGGACUGAGACACUGCCCAGACUCCUACGGGAGGCUGCAGUCGAGAAUCUUCGGCAAUGGGCGCAAGCCUGACCGAGCGACGCCGCGUGGAGGACGAAGGCCUUCGGGUUGUAAACUCCUGUCGAGGGGAAAGAAGGUCCGCAAGGACUUGACUGAUCCCUGGAGGAAGCACGGGCUAAGUUCGUGCCAGCAGCCGCCGUAACAC